rnacentral:lncRNA from 1 species
GCUUUAAAAAUACGUAUUCAAGUUUAACAGUUGUUUCAUUUCCCUGAAUGAUUGGUUUCUUAAAGAAGCUCUUAAUCUGAGUCUUACUGUGUCCUGACUACAGGGAUGUGAGUCCCUUAGUAAAUAAAUAGGCUCUGUAUGUCCUAAUGUGUGGAAUAUUGACCUCUACUCUUCCCAGUCGUGUAGGAGAGCAGGAUGGUGGAGAGGACUUAUGAGGGAAGUCUACCACAUUCAUUUAGGUGACAAACUUCCCCCUCACAAAUAGCUUCCACGUUCUCUGCCCACACAGCAAGCGUCUUCUUUUGAGUCAGGAGUAAUGUAACAUUUGCUCACUUCCACACAUUUAAAUAACCAGUUCAUAAAAGCCUUAUUGAUUGUUUAAACAUACUUAAAAAAAAAAGAUUUUUAGUUGUGAAAUUUCAUAUUUUGCUUCAGCCUUUCAAUGACUGUAUUUAGUCAAAACAUUAAUUUUUUGAAUGUUUUAAUUGGAAAUGAAAGUAUACAAAUAAAAGCCAAACGUAUAUGUCACAGCAUUACUAAGAAUAGGAAAAUUUUGGAUAUAAAAAGAAGUUACGACAAAUUUCAUUACGUUUGCAACAAUUUGCUAUUAAUCAGCUUCGAAUUAUAAAUACUCAUCUUAUAUUAGUGAAAGAACUAACAUUCUGGGUGUUUUCAAUGUUGACUAGCCAAUAGUGUAUCAUAUUUAUAGUUUAUUUUCUUAAUGCAUGCCUGUAGCCUGGGAAAACAAGAUCCUUAAUGAAUAUGACUACUCUGAGUUCCCGUUGUGGAGCAGUGGUUAACGAAUCCGACUAGGAACCAUGAGGUUGCGGGUUUGGUCCCUGCCCUUGCUCAGUGGGUUGACGAUCCGGCGUUGCCGUGAGCUGUGGUGUAGGUUGCAGACGCGGCUCGGAUCCCGCGUUGCUGUGGCUCUGUCGUAGGCCAGUGGCUACAGCUCCGAUUUGACCCCCAGCCUGGGAACCUCCAUAUGCCACGGGAGCAGCCCAAGAAAU